CAAAAAGGUCUUCAUCCUUGUCUUCACGCUGAGUAGGCUAAAGAGGAGGAGGAAAAGGGGGAUGGUCUUGCUGUCUCACGUUGGCAGAAGCAGAAGAAAAUCUGCAUAUAUAUACUGAUCUGCACAAUUCGAACCCACGUUGUUCGAGGGUCAACUUUAACUCACUUUUAACCUGCCAAUUCAGUCAACUAGUUAAUUUUUCAAAUUUUCCCCUCCAAAAAGUCUCUGCUUUACCUUUGGGAGCUAUAAACCCUGUAAGAUAACUCAAGUUCCACUUUCCUAGCCAGGCUCAGGAAAGGCAUUUCAAAGUUCCUUCAUCUUUCUUUAUAAAAAAAUGUCAGGCCGGGCACAGUGGCUCACGCCUGUAAUCCCAGCACUUUGGGAGGCCGAGGUGGAUGGAUCACGAGGUCAGGAGAUUGAGACCGCCCUGGCCAACAUGGUGAAACCCCGUCUCUACUAAAAUACAAAAAAAAUUAGCUGGGUGUGGUAGCACGCACCUAUAGUCCCAGCUACUCGGAAGGCUGAGGCAGGAGAAUCGCUUGAACUCAGGAGGCGAAAGUUGCAGUGAGCUGAGAUCGCGCCACUGCACUCCAGCUUGGGCAACAGAGCGAGACUCUGUCUAAUAAAUAAAUAAAUUCAUGGCAAAUGUACUGUUGGUUUUAACAUUUUACCUCUUUUCUAUUCUCAACUCGUAGGUCCUGCUAUUCUUGUUAACCCCUGGGAGUGACUAAUGGAAGACUCAAACUAAAAAUUACUGUUGCCAAAGUUUUUAACAAAUGAUAAAUCAAAAGGAAUUUGCAGUUAGGGGAUUAUUGAACUGACCACAAAGGAUUAGAAAACCAAAACCUCUCUACUGAAUUAAAUGUGUUCCAAUACUUACAACACUGCUUGGUACAUACUAUUAUUAUGACUAGAAUACUAAAUUGAACUAAUACUGGCUUUAUUUUCCCUUCACCAUUAACAUUUUAAGCUGUUUUUGAGUUUCAACUUCUUAGAAAAGGCAAUUUCUGAAAAGCAUAAAUUUGCCUUUUCCUGCUAUUUAUAAUAGAAAUUGAAUAAGAAACAUACUAGAAGUAUACAUAAUUUUAAACUUAGAAUUUAGGGAUCAUGUAAAUAGCUGCCUACUUAUAAUCUGUACUAUGCAUUUCCCAAAGAGUUUUAACAUUACUAUUUUAGUUAAAAUUGUAUUACAGAAGCGAAGUUCAUCAACCUCCUGCCAUUACUGGGUAUAUCAAAUUAAAAUGCAAUGUUAACAUGUGGAGAAAAAAAACUUUAUUGGUAUUACAGCAAAAAAUUCACAUAAGAUACAUAAAUUAUGAUACCUCAAAGCUAGACGCAAAUAAAAUACACCUAAUUAUACAAAUUCUAUACAAUUAAAUCAAGAACAUUAGGAAAAUUUUUUUGCAAAAAUGUCAAAAAAAGAUUUGAUCUGGUCGGGUAUAGUGGCUCACACCUGUAAUCCCAGCACUUUGGGAGGCCAAGGCAACAUAGUGAGACCUCUGAAAAAAAAAGAAAAAAGAAAGAAGAUAAAUAGUAAUUAAAUAAAAAGGAAAAAAAAAGAGCUUCAAAACAGGCUCAGAUUUUUAAAUCAUUUUAUAUAUUUCUAAUCCACUCUAAUUUAUUCCCAAGUGAGGUAACACUCAAUGUUGGCUAUGAGUAUUCUAUCGAUAAAUCUAAUGUAGGUAUUCCUCUGCUUUACUGGUAUUUCUAUAUCAUAACCAUUUAUCUUCUUUAAAAAUGUAAAAUGUUCCUUCAAGGGAGCAAAGAAUGUAGAAUGUGCACAUCAAAUAACUAUAAUCCUAUUUGUUUUGCUACUUCUGAAAUAUAUUUAACUACUUCCUGGAAAUUUUCUGACCUAAAAUUUCAUCUGUGCAAUUCAAAGAAGCAUCUCCUGAAAGUUUAAUGCAUAGCAACUGCAUUUACUAAAUCAGAUUCAAUCGGCAACUGCAUUUACUAAGUCAGAUUCAAUAUAAGCUGAUUUGAAAGUGAAGACCGAAACCAAAUUAAAGAAAAACUAGUGAAGCUACACAAAUAAAACAACAACAAUAUGAAAUAAAUUUGCUAAAAAACAUCUGUUAUGACAAUAAUUGGAAAUGAAACAAAGGUUCUAUUAAGUUAAACUUUAUAAUAAUAAACACAUACAAAUUUGCACAAAGUUUGAGAAUCAGAAAAAGUCAUCUUGAAGUGAAUAACAAGCACAGAAUUUUGUUUUUAGUCUAAUGUUGCUGGUUUUAUCACUGAUCACGUUUUAAAAAGUCAUUAUGUAAAAUCUACAAAAACACUACUAUCCAAUAGUAAUCACUGUAGUGAUAUGGCAAAUUACUUCUUACAUUUUUUUUUUUAGAUAAAAGAUCAUUCUCCAAAAUGUCCCAAUCUCAUUAAAAAUUCUUUUAAAAUGUCGCCUGUAAUAGCUGUACUAUAUUCCAUCAUGUAUACGUAUCAUUUCCCUCUUGUGGAAUAUCAAAUUUAUUUCUAAUUGUUUUUUAGUUCAACAACUAUUUACUGACCACCAUGUCCCAGCAACUGUUCAAAGUAUGGAGCAUAAAGAGGUAAACAACAAACGUCUUUGUUCACAAAAUUUGCCUGUAAAUCUAAGGCAAACAACCCAAAGUUGAAAUACCAAAAUCAAAGAACAUAAAAAAUUUUAAGAUGCUUGGCAUUUUGUCAAAAUUAUUCACAGAAAUAUGGUACAUUUUUUUCCUACCAGCAGUAUAUAAACUGAUGAUAAAAGAUAUGUUUAAAAGGUUUGCCAAUCAGGUAAGUAACAAAGAGUAUCUCACUGUUUUUGCAUUUCAAUAGAUAAAACUUUAUACAACACUAUCCAUUUUCCCCAUGUGGUAACUUCUAUUUCUUUUAUACUUAUAAAGUCUUUCGUGAUACAAGGAUUAGAAAAAUAUUUACCUAAAUUUUAAUCUAGCUAUCUUAAAUAUUCAAUAUUUACAUUUAACACUUUAAUCUUAACAUCUGAGAUUAAUUUGGGGCAAGUCAACUUUUUACUAACAAAACUAAAAAGCUCUCAACAUGGGUUGAUUUACACAUUUUGAUGGAUAACUAAGGCCCUUCCUUUUCCAGUUCUAGGCUCAGUUGAAGCUACUGACAAGAAUGGAUUAAGGUUGAAUCUCUAACACGAACAAGUCAACAUUUGUACUUCUACACAGAAAAAUUUAAGAUAACACACUGAAAGUCUAUAGCAAAUAGUUGGCUGACAAAAGCUAUUAGCAAAACUCAGAUUCUUCCUAAGCAUAACUAGCGGGAAGGGAAGUAGUAAAUAAUAACCAUGGGGAAGAGAUUUUUAAAAAAUCUUUUCAUGCAAUUAGAAGUUACGUUAAGGAAUCUGAAGAGGUUAUGUUAACAUUCCUUAUGGAAUGUGAAGAGUGUUUUUAAGGCUUUGUGAGGAGUCUGUUUUUAGGAUUUCCUCAAAGUUAUAAAGUUAAGAUUAAAAUUUCACUAACCAGUAUAAGCCAACAAAAUACAAAGGCAAAGCUGUGGUGCCACCAGACUGCCUAGUAAGUCUUGAUUCAGGAGCUGAAACAUUCCUUUUCUUCAGUUCUUCUACCAAUAGCCCCAUGGGAUUUAUUAUCUUCCACAUCUCAAAGAGCUCUUUUCCAGUCAUUUGAGUAAUUAAGAAGUCCUGCAUAUAAAAAUAUAAUUUAUACAUUUUAAUUAGUAGAAAGAACAUUAGGACAAUUCAAAAUACAUUUUUUACACUUUUUAAAUUAGAGAAGCCACAGAGUACAUUUUUAACAGAAAUUUAAAACUUAAUGGGAAACGAAAGACAAAAAUGUACUAUUCUUUUUCAUUCCCACAGUUUUUACACUAAUUUUAUUGCAAAAAUCAUAGUUGGAUUAAAAAAAUUUGCAAGCCCGAGAAACCUAUUUCAAGCAGUAUGAUCUACCAAAAUUCCACAGAAGGUAGAAUCCUAUAAUUUUUUUUUUCUUUUUUGAGACAGGGCUUCACUCUAUUGCCUAGGCUAGAGGUGCAGAGGCGUGAUCACAAGUAGACUGAAACCUCGACCUCCUGGGCUCAAGCAAUCCUCCUAGCUCAGCCUCUUCAGCAGCUGAGACUACAGGUGCACACCACCAUACUCGGCUAGCUUUUAAAUUUUUUAUAGAGAUGAGGUCUCCAUAAGUUGCCCAGCCUAGUCUCGACUCCUGGCCUCAAAGGAUCCUCCUGCCUUGGCUUCUCAAAGUAUUGGAAUUACAGGCAUUAGUCACCGUACCCUGCCCUAUCUUAUAAUUUAGAAUUAUAUUCCUACUAGUAAGAAAAAAAUUAUUUAAAGAAUUAACGAAUAAAAAGUAGUAACUUCUCAUAGAAACUCAUGUAAAAUGGCACUCAGGGCCUCUAAAUAACAAUACUUCCUCCAUUAAUAAUGUUUUUAAAAACUCUGCCAGGUGAGGUGGCUCACACCUGUAAUCCCGGCACUUUGGGAGGCCAAGGCAGGCAGAUCACUUGAGGCCAGGAGUUCGAGAGUAGCCUGGCCAACAUGGUGAAACCCUGUCACUACUAAAAAUACAAAAAUUAGCCAGGCGUGAUGCUGCACGCCUGUAAACCCAGCUACAAGGGAGACUAAGGCACAAGAAUUGCUUGAACCUGGGAGGUGGAGGUUGCAGUGAGCCAAGAUCAUGCUACCACUACACUCCA
rnacentral:lncRNA from 10 species